rfam:Ciona savignyi cont_45901, whole genome shotgun sequence.
UACCUGGUUGAUCCUGCCAGUAGUCAUAUGCUUGUCUCAAAGAUUAAGCCAUGCAAGUCUAAGUACGAGCUCUCGUA